rnacentral:lncRNA from 1 species
GGUGUUAUAUGUCGAAUGUAAGUGUGUAGUAGGAAAAUUAAUUUUCAAUAUAUUGAUUUCUUUGUUUUCUUCUAAUGUUGAUGUUCUGUUGUCUAUUUUAAUUCCAUUGAAUGACAUUGUUCAUUAAGAGGUAAUUUUCUUCUUCAUGUUUUUUACAUUUGAUCUCUACUCCUUUCACUACCAUCUUUAAACGUAAGGGUGGAAUUUUUCAGGUUUCCCGGGGACAAGAGAAGAUUCAUCGGAGAUACCUCUGUAGUAUGCUUAUUUCGUAUUCCCUAUUAUCCUCCAUUUCGCACUGUUAUUCAUUCUUCUGUUUUAUCUUUGGCUGUUGUUUGUUGACUGAAAAUAUGUAUUAGAGAAUUAAUUUUGAAUCCUUUGAUUUAUUUGUUGGUUUCUGAGCUUCAUGUUGCGUUUUGUAAUACUCGUUUCUUUCGUUUCGUUUCUUUCGUUUCGUUUCAGAAUAAUAUUAUUUGCUUUUAAUGAAAUUGUGUCAUAAGUUGUAAUUUUUUUAUUCUCGUUCUUACGUUUGAUCUCUGCAUUUUUCUAUACCUUCUAUAGGCGUAAGAGUAGAAUUUCAAGGUUUAUCGGGUACAAGAGAAGUUUGAUUGGAAAUAAGUCUUGGGUAAGUUUUCUCCGUAUUCGCUAUUCUCUAGACUUUCUCGCUGUACUUUAAUCUUCUCUUUUAUGUUUGGGUGUUAUAUGUCGAAUGUAUGUGUGUAGUAGGAAAAUUAAUUUUCAAUAUAUUGAUUUCUUUGUUUUCUUCUAAUGUUGAUGUUCUGUUGUCUAUUUUAAUUCCAUUGAACGACAUUGUUCAUUAAGAGGUAAUUUUCUUCUUCUUGUUUUUUACAUUUGAUCUCUACUCCUUUCACAACCAUCUUUAAACGUAAGGGUGGAAUUUUUCAGGCUUCCCGGGGAAAAGAGAAGAUUCGUCGGAGAUACCUCUGUAGUAUGCUUAUUUCGUAUUCCCUAUUAUCCUCCAUUUCGCAAUGUUAUUCAUUCUUCUGUUUUAUCUUUGGC